rnacentral:rRNA from 1 species
UAGGGAAUCUUCCACAAUGGACGGAAGUCUGAUGGAGCAACGCCGCGUGAGUGAAGAAGGGUUUCGGCUCGUAAAACUCUGUUGUUAAAGAAGAACAUAUCUGAGAGUAACUGUUCAGGUAUUGACGGUAUUUAACCAGAAAGCCACGGCUAACUACGUGCUAG